rnacentral:lncRNA from 1 species
GCGCUCAGGGCCUUGCUGUUGCUGGAAAUGGCUGCUGUUCUUGUCGGGAGCUCUGAUCUUCACCACGAGCAUCACUUCCUAGCUCCAGUGUCGAUCCCUCAGCCUGGUGGAACCAAUUCUUCACCUCACCUGCACAGGUUUUCUGUCUUCCACCAAUGGCCCUUGGGCCUUCAGGUCUCUGGUGACAAUGUGUGCACACCUGUCCUGAGUCCUCAGUCACAGCCACACCCGCAGAAGUGCUGUGAAGUCCCAAACCACACAGGUCUGUUACCAUCCAGCUUGUGGGUUCUCUUCUCAGCCCAGAAAGAAUUACAAGGUCUCUCCCAUGCCUUCCUUGACAAAGAAGAUAAAGACGUAAACACGGAGUCAAGGAUUUUAUUUUGAUGCCUUCCUUGAGUUCCUAUGGGAAUUUUUAGAACUUCUAGAAGCUUCCAACUCCUCCCUAACAAAAAUCAGUAAGUAAACCAGAAUUAAUUCCCCACCACUCUUCUCACUGCUGCUCCCCACAGUGUGGACCACAUCCUGGGGUCACACCCUUUCAGACUGCUGUGGAAGGCUCCUGUCUACUCCUUCAGCUAGACUGUGGGACCCUUCAGAGAUUUUGAUGCAGGGUCGAGUGAAGAUUACAGAACGUCCCCCUGGACAGACACAGGUGGGAGCAAGUGUGCGUCUUCGGGAGAAAUGGAUGUCCAAGCAAAAACCAGGACUCAGAAGGAAGGAACCAAGGAAGGAGCAAGAUCACUGCAGAGGGCAGACAUAGCAGGAGCAAGGGCCAGUGAGUGGAACAGCAGCAGGCGGAGGAAGGAAUUGCGGCAGUAGAGGAAUCUGCUGGAGGUGGAUAGAAGGAGACAGGGAUGAGCAUGGAAUGAUGGAGCCAGUUUGCAAGGAGCACGAACGUGAAGCGAAGGGACGGGCCCAAGGUCUCAGGAAGCUUGCUGCAUCAAGUAUUAGUGGCUGCCUGUCUUGCAUGUGUGGCUCUGCAUGUGGGUAAAUGGGCAGCCCAGUGUGGUGGGAAGUCAGACAAGCCAGAGAUCCCAUCUAGAGAUAACCACAGGGACCAAGCCACGGGGAAGGGGACCUUUGAGGGCCCCAGGCCGCAAAGGCUCUGUGGAUGAGGAGAUGCCCGAACCUCAAUGGGACGAUGCACAGGAGUUCACUCUGGGAGGAAGCAGGGACACUUUCCUGCCAGAGGGCGCAGAGGAUUGGUGUUCCGGGAAGGUGAGAGGGCAAGGAGAAUUUAAGGGACAGCAAAGAGCUACAUGAGCCGCACACAGUGGGUGAGCAGCA